UACGUAAAAGACUAGGUGUUAUUCAUCUUUAGUAGGUUUAAAGGGUACCUAGACGGUAUAAUUAGUCUUAAACAAGAAACGGUUAUGCUAGAGUUAUAUAUGAGAAGGGGAGUAUUUAUGGAGUAGAGUUGAAAUUCUUUGAUCCCAUAACGACUGGUAGCGGCGAAAGCAACCUUUUAUCUAAUAACUGACGUUGAGGGACGAAGGCUCGGGUCGACGAACAGGAC
rnacentral:rRNA from 1 species